UGGGCCAAUCGAUCAUGAUGACAGGUGGCUUAUGAGUUACAUACGAUGAGUCCUUGGGUGUCGGGAACUCCGAGGCCCAA
ensembl:snoRNA